CAGUAGCCACGGGAAUACGGAGGAUCCGAGCGUUAUCCGGAAUUAUUGGGUUUAAAGGGUGCGCAGGCGGAUAGAUAAGUCAGUGGUGAAAGACGGUGGCUCAACCAUCGCAGUGCCGUUGAUACUGUUUAUCUUGAAUAUGGAUGAGGUAGGCGGAAUGUGGCAAGUAGCGGUGAAAUGCAUAGAUAUGCCACAGAACACCGAUUGCGAAGGCAGCUUACCAAGGCAAAAUUGACGCUGAGGCACGAAAGCGUGGGGAUCGAACAGGAUUAGAGACCCCUGUAGUCCCUGUCUCUUAUAC
rnacentral:rRNA from 1 species